ACCAGUGGACAGCUGAUUCAGGUGUGGGUGGACUUUGACAGUAACCAAGCCAUGUUGAUCGAAUGUCACGGUAGCACCUUGCUGCCCCUCGUCCAAACCCACCAAGACACUGCUAUCACAAGUCAUAUCUUAUCCUUUCUCACAGUUUGUGCCAACCACACCGCUGCUCGCCGGAUUUUCCUCGGUGAAUGGCGAACAUUACAUCCUUGGUUGGAGCUUCAAGCUGAAUGGAGGAGAAGCUGCG
rnacentral:lncRNA from 1 species